rnacentral:rRNA from 1 species
GACGAACGCUGGCGGCGUGCUUAACACAUGCAAGUCGAACGGUGAGGAGGAGCUUGCUCCUCCGAUCAGUGGCGAACGGGUGAGUAACACGUGAGUAACCUGCCCCAGACCCUGGGAUAACAGUUGGAAACAGCUGCUAAUACCGGAUACGAGACGGAGAGGCAUCUCUACCGUCUGGAAAGUUUUCGGUCUGGGAUGGACUCGCGGCCUAUCAGCUAGUUGGUGAGGUAAUGGCUCACCAAGGCGACGACGGGUAGCCGGCCUGAGAGGGCGACCGGCCACACUGGGACUGAGACACGGCCCAGACUCCUACGGGAGGCAGCAGUGGGGAAUAUUGCACAAUGGGCGAAAGCCUGAUGCAGCGACGCCGCGUGAGGGAUGACGGCCUUCGGGUUGUAAACCUCUUUCAGCAGGGAAGAAGCGAAAGUGACGGUACCUGCAGAAGAAGCACCGGCUAACUACGUG